rnacentral:lncRNA from 1 species
CAGAAACUAGCCAGGUGUUCUCAAACCCCGUUCCUCUUUUCUUCCUGCACACUUGGUUAGAAUACAUUUCUCACCCUCUCUUUCAGUUAGGUGAAUAGACAUGACUGAGUUCAAGUAAAAGGAGUGUGAGUUAAAAUGACACAAACCACUACACAGCAUCCUGCAUGCAGCCCUUCAUGCUGUUUUUCUUUAACAAGCUUAGCAGAGAUAAGCAUAGAAAUGUUAGAAGCAAGAGUCGAAGAUGGCUGAGCCUCAAGAAGGAAGGAGGCUAUGGCUUUAUGGAGGAGAGCUGCCUGAAUUUCAUUUGUCCUGAGAGAGUGGAGGAACUGGAGAUAGGUGACGAAUUCCAGUUAUGAAAUGCAGUCUCUAUGGAGUUGCCAAUUCUUCUGUUUUGUUACUGUCUUUUGGGCUCAAGUCAUUAAAAUUGUGUAAUUCUAUGCCUUUAAAAGUAUGAAGAUAUUUUUAUUUAUAUAAAUUAAGUUAUACAAAAACUGGACAAGUUGAUAAUUAUUUACUAUCUCUUUGUCAAGUUUAAUUUUAUUUUUCUCAUGUCUCAAGCUAUUUCUCUUUUUCUUUUCUAAGGCUUUGUUAAAAUUAGAAGCUGGGAAAAAUAAUUUUCAGUUGGCCUUUGGAAGUAUAUAAUGUGAAAAAUUUAUCUUCUUAAUUGAAUUGCACACUUAUGAUAUGUGUGCUUUUCUGUUUCUACAUUUCAUUUUAAAAGUUAAAAGAAAUGUAACCUUAAUAGAGUAGUUUCAAGUAUAUCUACAUAUAAGGAUUAUCUGUGCUUUUUCAAAAUUCGAGACAGAGUCUUGCUCUAUUGCCCAGGCUGGAGUGCAGUGGCACUAUUAUAACACACUGCAGGCUUGAACUCCUGGGCCCAGGUGAUCCUCUGGCCCCAGCUUUCCAAAGUGCUGGGAUUACAGGCGUGAGCCACCAUGCCUCAUUCUAGUUGUACAUUUUUGCUUUAUUUUAUUUUUAUACAAUUUCCUCGACCAUAGUCUGGGAAACUGAUUCAGAAGGUCUAGGGUAGAGUCAGAUUAUUUGAAAUUAUUUUUAAGAAGAUCUCCAGGUGAUUUUGAUCACCUCCCAGAUUUGAAACAACUCUAACACACAGAGAUGAAACAGAGGGAAAAACUUACAUACCCACAAACCAGAAGGGUUCAGUAAUUAAUAUGGAUCAUUUACAUUGCAGUUUAUUGAUUUGAUUAUUGCAUUUCUCAAUAAAUAAAAAGUCAUGCCAAUGAGGUAACUAUGAGCAGAACAAAUGAAUUGUGGGGUGCAUGUAUAAUGGAAUACACUAUUCCAUCAAUAUUGAAUGAACUAGAUGGAAACUGAAUGGAUCUCACCAAUAUAUUUAGCAAACAGAAAAAAAAUUGCAGAAACAUAUAUAUAGUGUGAUACGUGUAAACAGAAGUUGAAGGGCAAAAUAUACCAUAUAUUACUUAAGUAUAUAUCAAUGAACACACAGGAAUUUUAAAAAUACCAAAUUCAAUAUAGUCUUUACCUCUGGUGGAGAGAAGAGGAGAGAUACUCAAGAUCAACCUUGGUAAUGUUGAUUUCUUUUUUUAGUGGUGAGGGUAAAAUUUUUUUGUUUUAAUAGGAGCCUUACUACCAUUUGUAUCUGAAAUAUUUCAUAAGAAAUAAAGUUUGUUGGUUAUGGAAAUAGCCUGAUUUUCAUUUUCAUACAUGCAGAGGAGAGUAAAGGGAGCAGGCGUUUUAUGUAUCUUCAAUACAAUAAGUUUAAAAUGUCAGAAAUCUGUUGACUCGUUUUUGAAAGAAUUGAGAAAAUAAAAGGUAGAAAGUAGUGAAGAAAGUUUCUCUAAGAUUGCCUUAAAUGCCUUGAAUUGUCUCUCAUCUCAUGGAUGCCAUGAGGGAGGUUUACUCAUUUAAAAUAGUAAGUGAGGCAUGCAAAAUAAAGGAAAAAGUUCUGUAUCUAUGUUCUUUAUUAGUUUCCAAUGUCAUCAUUUACUUUGUUAAAUUAAUUCACGUUACUUUAGUCUAAAAACCACUAAUGAAAAAAUCCAUUUGGAUUCAUAGAUUAGGCAUGUGACAGGUAAGAUUUGAACUUACAUGUACCAUGCUUCCCUUCCAUCCUCAAUAUUUUUUUUAAAAAGCACACAAAUGCAUGAGAGUGGUUGCAGAUUACUUUCUGAAAGGAAGGAAGCUUUUGUUCUUCAUUUUGAUUUUAGAGGAGUUAUUUAAAAGCCCAGUUAUACUCUUUACUUGCAAACAUUUUUGGCUAUUUGUGAAAGUUCACCUCCAAGGAAAUCUAAUCAGCCAGACAAGUUAUUGUUUCAUUUUAGCCUGAAAAAAAAAAUCACACAUAUAUAAAAUUACACACACACACACACUUUUAUUUUAAAGAUAGGAGGUCUAAAGAAUAUAAAAUAUGGCAAUGUGUUUCUAAUGUGUUUGAAAUGAUCAUAGCAAAUAGUGAAUUGCCACUAAAUUAUCAACAAAUUAUUUGCAUUUGACUUUUGCGUCAGUUUCUAAUUAUCAUAUAACUUGAAACAUAAACAUUGGUUAAUACUCUUUUGC